rnacentral:rRNA from 1 species
AACCAGCACCUCAAGUGGUCAGGAUGAUUAUUGGGCCUAAAGCAUCCGUAGCCUGUUCUGUAAGUUUUCGGUUAAAUCUAUGCGCUCAACGUAUAGGCUGCCGAAAAUACUGCAGAACUAGGGAGUGGGAGAGGUAGACGGUACUCGGUAGGAAGGGGUAAAAUCCUUUGAUCUAUUGAUGACCACCUGUGGCGAAGGCGGUCUACCAGAGCACGUUCGACGGUGAGGAACGAAACCCUGGGGCGCAAACGGG